rnacentral:rRNA from 1 species
UACGUAGGAGGCAAGCGUUGUCCGGAAUUACUGGGUGUAAAGCGCGUGUAGGUGGUGGGCCAAGUCUGUGGUGAAAUCGCCCGGCUCAACUGGGCGAGGUCCGUGGAAACUGGUCGACUGGAGGACGGUAGAGGCGAGUGGAAUUCCCGGUGUAGUGGUGAAAUGCGUAGAUAUCUGGAGGAACACCGGUGGCGAAGGCGGCAUCCUGGACCGGUAUUGACGCUGAGGCGCGAAAGCCAGGGGAGCAAACGGG